rnacentral:rRNA from 1 species
GAUGAACGCUAGCGGCAGGCCUAAUACAUGCAAGUCGGACGGGAUUCAGGAGCUUGCUUCUGAUGAGAGUGGCGCACGGGUGCGUAACACGUAUGUAACCUACCUUUAUCAGGGGGAUAGCCUCUCGAAAGAGAGAUUAAGCCCGCAUAAAAUCACAGCACAGCAUUGUGUAAUGAUCAAAUAUUUAUAGGAUAAAGAUGGGCAUGCGGAACAUUAGCUAGAUGGCGGGGUAACGGCCCACCAUGGCGACGAUGUUUAGGGGAUCUGAGAGGAUGGCCCACCACACCGGUACUGAGACACGGACCAGAAUGCUACGGGAGGGAGGGGUAAGGAAUAUUGGUCAAUGGGCGGAAGCCUGACCCAGCCAUGCCGCGUACAGGAAGCCGGCCCUAGGGAUUGUAAACUGCUUUUAUACGAGAAUAACCCCAGAUACGCGUAUCUGGCUGAAUGUACUGUAAGAAUAAGGACCGGCUAACUCCGUG